UUUCCGGUUGAUCCCGCCGGACCUGACUGCUAUCGGAUUGAUACUAAGCCAUGCGAGUCUUUGCAGUAAUGCAAGGCAUACGGCUCAGUAACACGUAGUCAACUUACCCUAUGGACGAGGAUAAUCUCGGGAAACUGAGCAUAAUACUCGAUAGAUCAUAAUGCCUGGAAUGGUUUAUGGUUGAAAUGAUUCGUCGCCAUAGGAUGGGACUGCGGCCUAUCAGCUUGUUGGUGAGGUAAUGGCCCACCAAGGCGAUUACAGGUACGGGCUCUGAGAGGAGAAGCCCGGAGAUGGGUACUGAGACAAGGACCCAGGCCCUAUGGGGCGCAGCAGGCGAGAAAACUUUGCAAUGUGCGAAAGCACGACAAGGUUAAUCCGAGUGAUUUCUGCUAAAGAAAUCUUUUGCAAGUCAUAAAACCACUAGUGAAUAAGGGGUGGGCAAGUUCUGGUGUCAGCCGCCGCGGUAAAACCAGCACCUCAAGUGGUCAGGAGGAUUAUUGGGCCUAAAGCAUCCGUAGCCGGCUCUGUAAGUUUUCGGUUAAAUCCAUGUGCUCAACGCAUGGGCUGCCGAAAAUACUGCAUAGCUAGGGAGUGGGAGAGGUAGACGGUACUCGGUAGGAAGGGGUAAAAUCCUUUGAUCUAUCGAUGACCACCUGUGGCGAAGGCGGUCUACCAGAACACGUUCGACGGUGAGGGAUGAAAGCUGGGGGAGCAAACCGGAUUAGAUACCCGGGUAGUCCCAGCUGUAAACGAUGCAGACUCGAUGAUGCAUUGGCAUAUAGCCAGUGCAGUGUCGCAGGGAAGCCGUUAAGUCUGCCGCCUGGGAAGUACGUACGCAAGUAUGAAACUUAAAGGAAUUGGCGGGGGAGCACCACAAGGGGUGAAGCCUGCGGUUCAAUUGGAGUCAACGCCGGAA
rnacentral:rRNA from 1 species